rnacentral:lncRNA from 1 species
UACUGUCUUAGCUUGGGAUGCUAUAACGAAAUACUAUAGACUGUGUGGCUUAAACAACACAAAUUUAUUUCUCAGUUCUGGAAGCCAGGAAGUUCAAGAUCAAGAUGCCAAAACGUUUGAUUUCUGGUGAAGGCUCACUUCCUGAUUUGUAGACAACUGUCUUCUCACUGUAUUCUCACAUGGCAUAGAAAGCUGAGAGCUCUGGUCUCUUCCUGUUUUCAGAAGGACUCUAAUUUCAUCACAGCAGCUUUAUCCUCAUGGCUUUAUCUAUGCCUAAUAACCUCCAAAAACCCCUCCUGCAAAUACCAACACAUCAAGGGUUAGGACUUCAACAUACACAUGUUGACCAGAGAAACAAACAUUUAGCCUAUAACAAUGAUUUGGAUUUAUUUAUGGAGAAGGAAGCUAUAGAAGAAUAACUAAAAUGCAUAAAGGCAAAUUGAAUGUUCAAAGGGUAAGCAUGGGUCUGAUUGUUAAUAUCACUAUUAGCUCAGCUACAAAUGAGCAUCUGGAGCAAUAGCAUCUCUCUAGGUUUGAAGAGGUGAGCGGCGGUGCCUCAGCGAUCUCCUCUGCAGCAUAGGAAAUGAUGGCUGUUUCUUUCCGCUGGAAGCAUGGCCACGAAAGCCCUCCUCUGAAAGUGCUCUUGCUGUACUGACUUUGCUUGUCAACAAUGUGGCACUCCUCACUUAACAGACACUCCCUACAUCAGUAUUGGGUGUCCUCUGAAGGAAAACUGAAUCUUCCCCACCUCACUUUCCUCUUUAUGCCAUAACUGAGUUCCGGAAUGUGAAAGCCUACACUGCUGGAUCUGCUGUGUGGACUUGACCCUGACCAGGGAGCUCCAAAAACCGGUGAUGAUAACAUGAUGUAAUUGAGAGUGAAAGGAAGGCAACUGAGAGGAUAAGAGAACGUAAACAAGAGGUUACGGCACUAAAGAACCUUCAUGAAGCUAGGUCUCCAGAUUAAUCUACUGUCAGAUACUCGAGUCUUCAAGGUGAGAGAACAAGAGAUUAGGACGCAGACAACACAGACUUAAGAGGUGAUCAUGUGAGGAUACAGCAAUAAGAUGACCAUCUAUAAGCCAAAGAUAGGCCUCAGAAUGAAAUCAACCCUGUUGACACCUGAAUCUCCAGAACUGUGAGAAAUAAAUUUUCAUGGCCGU